rnacentral:lncRNA from 1 species
GUUUCUAUAAUUCUGGUAAGUGUCCGUAACACAAUAGUUAUAACACUCCAUACAUUGAUUUCUGGGGGCAGAUUGCUGUAUACCAAGCUCCAGGAAGAUACUUCUUGAAACCGGAAGUGGAUACUGAAAGCUUCCUGAAAACUGCCCCUGAAAGUGGAAGGUACAAAAGUUUCUCCAGGCUGUUUGUUAUUUUGUUUUUGCCUUUUCUCUUUGAAUCCAAAUUGUAUCCGUCUUGGAGAGACAAAUCUGAUCUGCAUUUAGCACGAAUAGUCACAUUGAAGUCUCCCUAAGUACACUUGUAGGAGCAAAGAAACUUUCGACCGGAGAAAAACAUAGAAAACGUUUGUGAUACUAUUAAGCAAAAAUACCAUGACAUUUUCCCUCCAUUUUGAGCUGGAACAAUCUAGGAGCAUAUACAUGUUUUUGAUGUUCCAAAGGUUAAAAUAUAUUUUUGAAUUCGUCCUUUCUUUCGAUUUCCAAUUUAAAUGGUAUGAUGCUAACAUACAGAGAUCAUUUCUGUAUGUAUUUUCUUGGCCAUUCCCCCUUAUGGGGGGUGGGGGAGAGUAUUUCUGAUCAAGAGAUUUUUUUUUUGGUCUUCUAUAUCUGUUUCAUUUUCUUGAGCCGGGGAUCUAUCGGAAACAGCCUCUCUACCUCGUUAGAGGUAGUGGUAUGGACUGCGUACACUCUACCCUCCCCAGACCCCACUAUGUGGGAAUAUACUGGGUUUGUUGUUGUUGUUGUAUACAUGUGUAUAUGUUUUAUAAAUUUGUAUAUAACUAUAUAUAUAGUGUGUGUAUAUAUUGUAGUAUAUUUUAUUUAAAGUAGUAUGUAUUUAUUGAAUGGUACGUAUAUAUGUGUAUAUAUCUUCUAUGAACGUGUGUAUAUAUUGUAGUAUAUUUUUUUUAAGUAGAAUGCAUAUAUUGAAUGGUACGUAUAUAUGUGUAUAUAUCUUCUAUAGACGUAUAUAUUUAACGUAUACAUGUGUAUAUAUUUUAUAGAUUAGUAUAUAACUAUAUAUAUAAUGUGUAUAUAUUGUAGUAUAUUUAUUUAAAGUAGAAUGUAAGUAGAAUGUAUAUAUUGAAAUGGUACGUAUAUAUGUGUAUAUAUCUUCUAUGGACGUAUAUAUUUAACGCAUAUAUGUGUAUAUGUUUUAUAAAUUAGUAUAUAACUAUAUAUAUAGUGUGUGUAUAUAUUGUAGUAUAUUUUAUUUAAAGUAGUAUGUCUAUAUUGAAUGGUACGUAUAUAUGUGUAUACAUCUUCUAUAGACGUAUAUAAUUAAUGUGUACAUGUGUAUACAUAUACACUAUAUAUUUUAUAUGUGUACAUAUAUAUUGAAUGGUGUGUAUAUAUGUGUAUAUUUUCUAAAGUAGUAUAUAUUUAACGUAUACAAGUGUAUAUGUUUUAUAAAUUAGUAUAUAACUAUAUAUAUAGUGUGUGUAUAUAUUGUAGUAUAUUUUAUUUAAAGUAGUAUGUAUAUAUUGAAUGGUACGUAUAUAUGUGUAUAUAUCUUCUAUGGUACAUAUAUAUUACAUGUGUAAUUGUGUAUAUGUAUUAUAUGUAUAUAUCUUUUAAAUAGUAAUGUAGUAUAUACUAUACAUAUAGUAUAUAUCUAUUGUUUAACGUAUUGAAAAUGUAUAUAGAUGGGUAUAUAUAGUGUUUAUUGGAGAAAAAACUUUUAUUUUUUGGUUUUCGACCGGAUUUUUAAUCGAUUUUGAUCGGGUUUAGGUGGGUUGGACUGGGUUGGGUUAAGUGGGCCGAUUCAGGGUUGUUUUAAAAUUUUUUACUGUUGGGCCCAGAAUCGGACCAGCCCGUUUAACUAGGCUCGAAUCCGAACCGGCCCACAAAUCGAAUAAAAUUCACGGGCCGGUUUCGAGUUGACCCGGCUCGGCCCACUUAACACCCUUAGUAUGACAGGAAGUGUCAUUCUCUUGUUGGAUGGUAUGAAGUUGGUGAAAAUGAGUUGUUUGGUCCUGACUUAGUUUACCAGCCAUGGAGAAAGUGAAGAUGAUUCUGGAUAAACCGCUCAAAGUCGCCAAAAGUCCUAUGCAGAUGUGAGGCGUAGGGAGUUAGAGUUUGAGUUUAGUGAUUGGGUGUUCUUAAAGGUGUCUCCUAUGAAGGGGUGAUGCGAUUUAGUAAAAAAGGAAAGCUUAGUCCUCAUUAUGUUGGUCCGUACUUGGUUUUGAAGAGGGUUGGUAGUGUUGUGUAUGAGUUAGAGUUGCCUUCUAGUUGAGCUCUUCAUUCAUCCGGUAUUUCAUUUCUCGAUAUUAAGAAGGUGCGUGGGUGAUCCUUUGUCGAUUGUCCCUUUGGAGGGGUUGGGUAUUUUGGACUCCUUGUCUUAUGAGAAAGUCCAAUUGAAAUCUUGGAUCGACAAGUUCAUUGGUUGCGGACGAAGGAUGUGGUUUCAGUAAAGGUUCUUUAGAGGAACCACAAAGUUGAAGAGGCCACUUGGGAAGCUGAAGAGGACAUGAAGUCCAAGUAUCAGUUCUUGUUUCCCAUUCCGAAAAUCGUGCCCAAGGAAUAUGUUAUUCUUACCAUCUUUAUUUUCUAACUUUGUUAAAAGAAAGGGUGAUUUCCUUGGCAUCUUCGUUUUCUAACUUGGUUAAAGGUAAAAGUAAAGGUCUAUGGAGUCCAAUCGUGCUUAUGUUGCCUUGACCCAUCAUUCGAAGAUGAAUGAUCCAAGUUAGGGAGAAUGUAACGCCCCAAAUUUUUAGCCCUUGAAAAAUUCUUGUGCUUAGGGCUCACUCUCUUGGUCACGACUCGUGGUGAUAAGUUGUGAGAUGUGGUUACGGGUCAUAGGACCCUGGUCAUAACCAAAUUCAAAACUUAGUGGCAAAUUUCUGCUCUGAGUAUAAGUGGCUUACUAUGAGACGUGAGGAUAUGUUACGAGUUGUAGGUUCAAAUCAUAUGAUGUCCAGUGUUUAAUUAAUUUGGGUUUUGCGUAGCUUAUGACUAGACCUUACGAGUCGUAAGAUCUCAUUAUGAGUGGGUUGGCAGAGUCGUAAGGUAGGCAGUUUAUGGGGGCCCUAAUCACUAUUUUGGUUAAGGUAUGGUUACGAGUCAAGGGGUUGACUCAUAACUAAAGGCGACUUUUUUCAUCUUUUAAGUUGAGGACAUUCUAGACAUUUCCCCUCUUUCCCAACUUAAAACCCACGUCUUAUAACUUCUUUAGGACAUUAUUAGCUAUCAUAAACACAUCAAAUAAUCUCUUAGAAUACUCCUAAAUCCUCAAGGGUCAAGAACACUUAGGGUUUUCAUGAAGCUAUUCAGUUGGGACUUUCAAGGAUAAUUUCUCUACGUACUUCUUGGUGAUUAAGGCAUGUUACUCUUCCCUCAUUGUUAUUUUAUUAAAAAGCACAUGUUUUAAGGUAUAACUUUUAUGGUAUUGUUAUGGUUUUGAAACAAAGAUUGGGGGGUUUUGAAUGCUUGUGGUUGAAUGAUGUUUUCCUAUGGUUUAAUUGUGAUUAUUCACGCUUUAAAUAUGGUUUUGAACAUGUGGGUGCAUGGGUAUUGUGAAUGAACUUAUAAAUUGUGAUUUCUUAAACUUGCGACUCUUCAACCGUCCAUGACCCCAACCCUGUAUGGUGAAACUGGUUUUCAGUUAUAAGAAAUAUGGGAAUUGAAUUGUGGCAUUAUGAUGUUGAAUUGAACCUUAUGGAACUAUGUUUUUACAAACUAUGGCUUUAAUGAACUAAAGGAGGUCGAGGUAUUCCUCCAAAUUGAUUUUAUGAACUAAAAUGGGGUGUGGCGUUCCCCCAAGUUAAACAUGAUUGUUAUGGCAUAGAGUUAAACUUGCAAGUGAAGGGUAUGGCGAUACCCCUGUAUGACUUAACAGUUGGUUCAUUGAUCAAUAAUUGAAAUUAUGUGCAGCUUGUUUUAAAUUAGCUUAAUGGGAAUUAUAUAGCAAUGUUGAGAAGGUGUGGGUCUUGCAUGACUUGUACUGGGAACUCGUGUUUACCGACAUAAGUUUUGGUCUUGAUGACCUGUGUGCAUGAGUCACACUUGAUAUAUGUUGGGAUGGAUAAUUGCCUAGAUGGCUUAGCUUUCCCUCAGAUUUUAUCUGGAACGUGUGGCUAACACGCACCGGGGCCCUUUCAACAGGGGGAGCUAUACCCAUAUAGCCCGUGAGUGCCUAUUAUGACGGUUGAGCUACAUAGUCCAGGAUAAAGUUUCCCUUCAUGAUUAAACUUGUUCCCUAUACCGGCAUUAUAUAUAUAUAUAAUUGCAUAUGGUUAUGUACAAUGGUUUGACUUGAUUUUGAAUUGAUGGCAUUACUUUAUCUUUAUCUUUAAGUACAUGCUAAUGUUCACCCCACUAACCGUCUCCGAGCGCUGCAUCCCCACGCGAUGUAGGUGCCGGAGCAAUUUUUACUUUCCCUGCGCAGAGUUAGGUGGAUCAGUCCAGUUCGUUAGUCUUUGAUGGUGAAGUGGUGAGCUUCCAUUUCUCCGAAAGACUUAGUCAUUUCAUCCGUUUCUUUCCAUAAUUUAGAAAUGAAGAGUUCACAUUGUCAUUGUCAGAGUCGGGGGCAUGCCCCAACUUUUUAUUGGUACUCAUUUGGUAGAGGCUUUGUUUGGACUACUGUGGACAUGGGUGGUAUGAUUUGGUUUGGUUAGACUAGUAUAAUGUCUUUAAGAUUGAAUUUUCUUAUCUUGUUAUAUGUUCAGAAUUCAUCCGGCAAGGGGUGUACGGUAUAGACGGUGGUUUGGGUAUUUGGGGGUAGUCUCUAGUCCUUAUUGGACUUGAGAUACCCGUCACGGCCAGGCCCUGGUUCGGGUCAUGACCCCUAAGACUUGUCUCAUAUUAAAUCUUAUCCAUAUUUGUUGCCUUGAAUUGGUAGUUUGAUUAGAUUUUGGCAAAACAACUUUCCACCCCACCCCACCCCCAUUUUAGUUCAUGUAUUUCAUUUUGUUUACAUUACGGGUAUCUAUUUAGUAGCUAUUAACAACCAUAGGAUUUGGAGACUAAUUCCACUCCUUGAGGAUUCGACCCAAACUAACAUUAGGUUAAUAACUUGACAAAAAUCGCCUUACCCAUUAAUCAUGAAGUGGGUUGAGAGUUAUCAAUAGGGUUGCUGCCCUUGUGAAAGAACGUCAACUCAAUGGCUCUCUUUUCUCUCAUCCUAAACUUUUGACCUAAUUCUCACAAUGACCAAUCAACCAAUUCUGGCAACUGGCCUACUGGCUCCAAUGGCUUACCAAAACCUACUAACCCUUUUUCAAUUCCCACCUCUCCCUUCCAAGAACAUUCAUGAGCCUUCCACGUACAAUACUAGCGCUAACAAAAUCCAAAAAGAUGAAGCAUCCCCAAAGAAAUAUUUUGGUGCACUUUUUAACAUUGAAUAUGAUAAUGGAGUACCAAUGGUAACGUGAACUCAAGCUGAGGUCAAUCGCAUGAACAUUAUAGAACAUCUCCAAUAUUCUAUUAUUGGAAAAUUCUCUUUCAAUUGGCCUAGCAUUGAAGAUCUAAGGAAAGCAGUUCCUUCACAGUGUAGUAUCAAAGCUGACUGUCGCAUAGAGUAUUGCGAAAUAAACAUAUUCUUAUUAGAUGUGUCCUAGUAGAAGAUUUCGUUAAUGUGAUGUCUAGAACCUCGUAUUAUAUCAAGGACAAGAAUGACCAAGAUUUUCAGAUGUGUUCUUUGAUUUAUGAUGCAAAGUUCAAGGUGAAUAAGGAAACUACGCAAGCUAUGACAUGGAUUUCAUUCCCUAUUCUACUGCUUACCUUUUCUGUUAAAAACACACUUUUUACAAUAGCUUUAGCGUAGGAAAGUCAUUGCAAUUAGAUAUGGCCACCCAAUAAAACCAGACCUAAUUAUGCUAGGGUCAAGGUUUAGGUCGACCUAUUAUCUACGCUCCUUCAUUCGAUGAAAAUGAAAAUCAAAGAUGAUAAAUCAGGAAGUGAGAGCACAGAAACUAUCAAGAUACAAUAUGAUCUGCUCCUUAAAUUUGUACCAAUUGUAAUUUUCAAGGACAUAACACAAGUAUUGUAGAAUGUUACAACCGGAACUAAGACAACAAAUGCAAGGCAACAAUGAUGAAGGCACACAAUCUCUAGUAGAGAGAUCACCUCAGAAACAAAAGAAGUCCAAAACAUUUCUUCCAAGGAGACAGAUAAGCGGCAAAAUAGUUGGUGAUCUACAGGUUUGGAAAGAAAAAGAAAAUAUCAUACAAGACAUAAAACAUAAUAACAUGAAGGCAAUGUACAACAAAUCUGAUGAUGAUUAGAAAAUUGCAACCAAAAUUAAAUUUGAUACAUUGACAGACUUGAAUCGUGAACAGGGAGAAAGAAAAGAUAAUCAAGACAUAGGAGAACUUUCCGAUAAGCAACAUGUGAAGAUGGAUAGCUUUGGUGAUAAUGAUAAUACACAGGAGCUACAAAAUAAAGAUGCAAGAAAAGAAGUUCAAUAAGUAGACAUUCAACGCACCACGGAAGAAAAGUGACUGCAACAGUAGCAACAAUGGAGGAAAAGGUGAGAGGACAAGGGCUUGGGUGGAAGGAGUUUUUGAAAAAUCAUCCCAACAAAGAUCUAGGAAGUGGAGAGAUAGGGUAGAAUAGGAGGAUGGGAUAGAGGAUGAAGAAGUGGGAUCGUAUAAUAGCUUAUGUGAAGGGAAGAAAAUGGGCACAAAAUCUUUUAAUGCUAUUAUAUUAGCACCAGAUAUUGUUACAACUAUUAAAGAUUUGCAAUCAUAUGAGAAUUUGGUUGAAUAUUAUCCACCAAAAAAAGGAGCAUGCAGCCAUAACAAAUGAUGAAGCCAGGGUUCCACUUGAAAGUAAUGAUAUUCAAACGACAAAAUAUCCUAAUAGGAAGUUGUAAGGAAUUGUUACUCAUUCUUCAAGAGAAGAAGAGGUAGAAAAGGAAAAAUUAAAAAAAAGGAGGACGUAGUUCAAAUAAUUCUCCCAAACAAAAAGGAGGCAAAAGAGGUAGUAAAGAAGGAAAUACAGAACUGCAACAGUCUAAUGUGAGACUGGCCAGAAGUGUUGACACUAAAUUUAAUAGCAUGUGAUGAUUAAAGUCAUUUUUUGAAAUAUCAAAUCAGUGAGAACACAUCAAGCUUUUCAUAGGGUACAAAUGCCUUAUAGGCAUCAUAAGUUUACAUUGAUUGCACUAUUGUAGCCUAUUCAAAGACUAACUCAAAUUAACAAAUACAAAAGGAGACAAGGAAUGAAAAAUAAAGGUAGUAAUUGCAAUGUGAAAAUCUAGUACUUUGUAGAAUAUAAUGUGGACGUUGAAGCGGCUAUGGAUACAGGCCAACAAAUUACUUUAAAGCUUUUGUUACGGGAUUCAAAUAAGCAAUGUUAUACCUCUAUUGUAUAUGCUCAAUGCAUUGAGAGGGCAAGGUUAACUUUGUGGGACAAUAUUUAUCAAUUAUCUAAUAACAUGGAGCUACCAUGGUUUGUGGAAGGAGAUUUCAAUAUUAUUUUAAAUGAAAAGGAGAAACUAGGAGGUUUUUCUGUUCUCCCCCAAGAAGGGGAAGAUUUUGCUGUUUUGCAUCAACUCAUGUGAGCGGCAAGAGGUGAAUUACACAGGUAACCCUUUUACAUGGUGGAAUGGUAGAGUAGGGGAAGAUUUCAUUUUUAAAAGACUUGAUAGAGUUGUCAUCAAUAAACUCUGGCAAUGGUUUGAAGGAAUGGAAAUGGAACACUUAUGCAGAACAAGUUUAGAUCAUGCUUCAUUAUUGAUUACUAUGACGAAUAAAGGUAAAAUUUUCCAUAAACCUUUUAAAUUUUUUGAAGUUUUGUGCAGAUAAUGAAGGCUUUAUGGGGGUAGUGAGACAAAACUAGACUGCAGAUAAUGAGGGCAAUUGUUUUUACCAGUUUAAUCAGAAGGUUCAAAAAAGCACUGACUAUUUGGAGAAAGGAAACAUAUGGUGAUAUUUUCAAGUAUAUACUAAUCAGAGAAGAGACAAAAAAGAUUAAGAAGCAGUUGUUUAAUGAUGUUCUUGAUGCUGAGAAUAGGAUGGUUAUGCACCAGGCUCAAGCUGAACUCAAAAAAUACUGGCACUAUGAGGAAGAAUUUUGGAGGCAAAAAGCCAGUAUUACUUGAUACUCAGGAAGGUGACAAAAAUAUUAGUUCAUUUCGCAAUCUAGUUAUGGGCAAGAGAAAGAGGUUGCAAUCAAAAGUAUUCAGAAUGAAGAAGGGCAGUAGUUACAAGAUGAGGGACAUGAAGCUAAUGAGGCUAUCGAUUUUAUCAGAAGCAAUUCACUCAAGAGGAGGAGGCUAAUGAUUUCUCAAUUAUUAAUCAUGUGCCAGAAUUAAUUAGUAGAGAACACAAUGAGUUGAUGUGCAGGAAGCCAGAGUUGGAGGAAGAAAAGAAGGCUGUUUUUAAUCUACAGGGUUUCGUACUAGUCGUCCAGAUGGACUAAUAGGUUUAUUCUAUCAAAAAUAUUGGGAUAUAGUGGGAGGAGAUGUAUUUACGCUAGUUGAAGCUUUUUUUUUUUUGCAGGAAACCUAUUACUCAUACAAAUCUGGUGCUAUUACCAAAAAAGACUACCAUCCAGAUAUUUGCAGAUUUGAUACCUAUAAGCUCGAGUAAUUUUAUUGAUAAAGUUAUUUCUAGAGUGGUACAUGAUAGAUUAGAAGAUGUACUGUCUCUAAUUAUUUCUCCCAAUCAAUCAGAUUUUGUGAAAGAAAAAGCAUAAUAGAGAAUGUACUACUGACACAGGAAAUCAUCACUGACCUAAGGAAGAGAGGAAAGCCAAAUAAUAUUGUAAUAAAGCUGGAUAUGUCCAAAGCUUAUGAUAGAGUUUCUUGGCUGUACCUUUGUAAAGUUUUGAGAAAAUUGGGAUUUGAUGAAAUUUUUAUUGACAUGAUUUGGAGAUUACUAGCUAACAACUGGUAUUCUAUUUUGUUGAACGAGCAAACUCAAGGAUUUUUUCAUUCAACCAAGGGAGUGAGGCAAGGAGAUCCUUUAUCUCUAGUCCUUUUUAUCAUUUUAGCUGAAGUUUUGUCUAGAGCUUUGAAUUCUCUGACGGAGUCAGCGAAUUACCAAGGAUUUGAUAUGCUUAAGUGGAGUACCAAAAUUAAUCACCUAACUUAUGCAGAUGACACAAUUAUUUUCACCUCUGCAGAAACAAGUUUGUUAGGAAUGAUUAAAGAGGUUUUACAUGGGUAUGAGAAGGUGUCCGGUUAGUUAAUAAAUACAGAGAAAUCUUCUUUCUAUAUGUAUUAGAAGAUUCAAGAGGUUUUGCUUUAGGAGGUAGCUGACAUCACUGAUUUAAAAGAGGUGUUUUUCCUUUUAACUAUCUGGGUUGUCCCAUUUUUCAUGCUAGAAAGAAGAAAGUAUAUUAUAAUGAUCUAAUCAAGAAUAUCAAAGAUAGGCUACAAAAUUGGAACAAAAAACUUUUGUCAUUUGAAGGUAAAGCUGUAUUGAUUAACAAUGUGCUUCAGAGUAUGCCAAUUUAUCUGUUGUCUGUAAUGGCACCUACUAAGUACACUUUAAAUGAAAUUCAUAAAAUCUUUUCUAGAUUUUACUGGAUCAACAAGGAAGAAGGGAGAAGUAAGCACUGGUCAACAUGGUUGAAAAUCUACCUUUCUAAACAGGAAGGGGGCAUAGGCUUCAGGUCUUUAUUUGAUGUUUUCAAAUUCUUUUUUGCCAAAUUUUGGUGAAAGUUCAGAACUACAACAAUAAUGUGAAAAAAUUUCAUGUGAAAUAAAAUAUUGUAAAAAGUACUAACAAUGGUGAACUGGAAAGGGGGGUCAUAACUUUCGAAGAAAAUGUUGGAGGUUAGGGAUGAAAUAGAAUCCAAUAUUUGGUGGGAACCUAGAAAUGGUAAUGCAAACUUUUGGUUUGACAACUGGACUAGGUUGGAUCCUCUGAUUCAUCUCAUGCCCUCAAAUCAAAGAGACUUGAGAUUUGAAGAGGUAAAUCAUUUCAUGAAGGAAGUUUUGUGGAAUAAAAAUUUGCUCAGGCAUAACUUACCAUCUUAUCUGGUUGAGCAUAUCAUGACAGAAUUGCCCAAGAAAGGGAAAAAUAUAGCUUGUGAUAAACCAUGGUUUCUAGGCAUAAGCAAUGGAAAUUUUACUGUUAAGUCCUCUUGGGAAAUAUGUAGGCAAAGGGAAGAGACACAGGGGUUUUUUCACAAGAUAUGGACAGUUGGAUUACCUUAUAAAAUCUCUUUUUUCUUAUGGAGGGUGUGGAAGAAGAAACUACUUGUUGAUGAUGUUCUAGCUUCGAUGAUGAUCAAUAUUGUCUCAAGAUAUAGGUGUUAUGAACAACCUCAUCAGGAAAACCUAAUUCACUUUUUCCUGAAUGGAGAUUUUGCUAGAGAUAUUUGGAAUGUUUUACAGGGAUAGCAGGAGCACAAGGUUCGUUCAUACAAGUAAAUCAGGCAAUCACAAUGGUGGAAAAAAGAUUGUGCACCUAACUUGAAAUCGAUAUAUCAAGCUGCACAGCAGUGAUAUUAUGGCAAUUAUGGAAGAGGAGGAGCAAGUUAGUUCAUGGGGGAACAAUGUCAAGGAAUAAAGUGAUUUAUGACAUCAAUCAAAAUUUGUAUCUUCUUCCGAAGAUCAAAUUCCUUAGAUCACAGAUAUUCCUAAUAAUUGGGCUAUUUAAUUCUAAAACUGGAGACAUAUAUGCAACAAAUACAAUGCAAGUUUAUAAACUAGCAGUUGUCCUUAAAGGGUACUUUUAAAUAUAACACUGAUGCUUCAUCUAAAGAUAACCCUGGACCUAGUUCAAUAGCAUUUUGCAUUAGAGAUUGGAGUGGCGACCUCAAUUAUGCAAGGAUAACAAGAAUAUCCAACACUACUAGCCUCCAAGCAGAAGCUAUGGCUAUUCUAGAUGCUAUUGAGUAUUAUGUGACACACCAUAUGAUGCCUCUGAUUAUUGAAACAGACUCCCUGAUAAUGAAAAAAGUGAUAGAAGGGGAAUGAGGUAGUCCUUGGUCUAUCAGUAUGAUUGCACAAAUAAUUAUGGAGUGGAAGAAAAAGGGCGAAGUGUGUGUCUCACAUGUACUAAGGGAAGGAAAUCAACUAGCCGACUAUUUAACUAACAAGUUUGAUGAUUUUGCAAGUACUAUUCACUUUCAUAAUGAAGAAGAUCUACCAAUAGAAACAAGAAGAAUUAUCCAUGCAGACAAAAUUCAGAUGCCUAAUUUGUGUUUGCAAGAAAGAGAACCAGACUAGACCAUUUCACAAUCAAAGUAAAAAGGCAACAGUAGAGCAAACAACAUACAUCUAGAAAUAAAGUUCACAAUUUCAAUGGUAAAAACAUCAAGCCAAUUGAUACAGUUUACAACGAUUCAAGAUGUCAUAAGUUUAUCGCAAAUUCAACACAUCCAAAAAUAUAAAGGUAUAAUUGAGUAGAUUUUCUAGCGGUGGCAUCAAUCUUCUUGAAGGUUCAACCCACUGAAGGAAAAGUUGAUUUUACCAAAAGAUUUUCUAAUUUGUGUUUCUAUAGUUCUAUUCCUAGAAAAUCUUGAUUACGGAUCUUACCUGAGGGCGUAAUAGCUCAUGCUAUCCUCGAACAAGUUGAAGAAGUCUUCAUUUGGGACAGAUCUCACAGCAUCUGGUGAGAGCAUUGGGGUGUCUUGAGUGGAAUCUACCAAAACUUGUCAACAGUCUAUAACUGAGUUUAGUAGCUCAAAAGAAUCUAAAUGGUCAGAGGUUAAUGUAGAUAGACUCACAUUAGUGCACUUCAUCACCUUUAUUUUGAUGUCUGAUGUCUCAAGUGACAGAUGUUAAUUUCGUUGAUGGUGAAAGAGAGUCUCGGGGUUUUGGACUUAAAAGUUUUAAAAUGGGAGUACUUGAGUGGAG